CUAACAAGGAUUCCCUCAGUAACUGCGAGUGAAGUGGGAAAAGCUCAAAUUUAAAAUCAGGCAGCCUUUGGUUGUCCGAGUUGUAACCUAGAGAAGUGCAGCCUGUGCUGGACCAUGUAUAAGUCUCCUGGAAUGGAGUGUCACAGAGGGUGAGAAUCCCGUCUUUGACGUGGACUGCCAGUGCAUUAUGGUGUGCUCUCAAAGAGUCGAGUUGUUUGGGAAUGCAGCUCUAAAUGGGUGGUAAAUUCCAUCUAAAGCUAAAUAUUGGCGAGAGACCGAUAGCGAACAAGUACCGUGAGGGAAAGAUGAAAAGAACUUUGGAAAGAGAGUUAAACAGUACGUGAAAUUGUUGAAAGGGAAACAUUUGAAGUCAGUAGAGUUGGCUGGGGAUCAACCUGGCUUUUUUGCUUAGGUGUAUUUCCUGGUUGACAGGUCAACAUCAGUUUUGACCACUAGAGAAAAGCUAAGGAAAUGUGGCACCUUUGGGUGUGUUAUAGUCCUUGGUUGUAUGUGGUGGUUGGGACUGAGGCAUGCAGCAUACCACAAGGCCGAGUUUAGGCUACGUUUGUGCUUAGGAUGUUGGCAAUAAUGGCUUUAAGUGACCCGUCUUGAAACACGGACCAAGGAGUCUAACAUGCAUGCAAGUGUUUGGGUGGAAAACCCAAGUGCGGAAUGAAAGUGAAAGUUGAGAUCCCUGUCAUGGGGAGCAUCGANGCCCGGACCAGANCUUUUGGGACGGAUCUGCGGUAGAGCAUGUAUGUUGGGACCCGAAAGAUGGUGAACUAUGCCUGAAUAGGGUGAAGCCAGAGGAAACUCUGGUGGAGGCUCGUAGCGAUUCUGACGUGCAAAUCGAUCGUCGAAUUUGGGUAUAGGGCGAAAGACUAAUCGA
rnacentral:rRNA from 1 species